rnacentral:lncRNA from 1 species
UAAGAAGGCAACAGCUGAGCAACGUGAGAUCAAGAGCCAUAUUAAUUUAAACAGGGGCUGAAAGUGGCAUUUGAGAGAGAAGAUACUUCCUCUCGUAGUGGACACUUGUCUUUUCAGAAGAUUUAUACGACUGAGAGUCAAAACUUUUACCAGAGACUUUCAUAGUCAGUUUGAAUUCUGCAAAAUUUCUCUUUAUCUUCUGGAAUGUAUGCUCUAGACUUGGAGUGGCUCAAGCUCUUCGAUGUGAUCCUAUCAAUGUCAAGAGAAAGAAGCACUGAAGAGUCAUAAUUGUGUCCUGAUUUAUAAAUCGGAGACAGAGGGAGACGAAAACCACACUCCAGAAAGUAGCUUAAUCGGACUCACUACUAAGAUGUUAAAAGUGAAGAGGCUGGAAGAAUUCAACACGUGUUAUAACAGCAACCAGCUGGAGAAAAUGGCCUUUUUUCAGUGCAGGGAAGAGGUGGAGAAAGUGAAGUGUUUUCUGGAAAAAAAUUCUGGGGACCAGGAUUCAAGAUCUGGACAUAAUGAGAAUGUGUUCGUUCCUCCCCACCCCAACUGUCCUCUAAGGAUGUGAACAGAUGAGUUACCAUCAGAGACUGAAGAAGGAGAAUGGAACUUCAUCCAGUCCAGCAAGAAUAAGAUGCCCAUGUACUACCAAGGUCACAGGUGUGAAAAUGCCUUGGAAAAUCAAAAGCAUUAAGCAAGGCAUAAUGCCAGAGAUGACUGGAGGCAGAGCUACCCACAGCCCGACCACUUCUACCUGAGCUCUUAUUGAGGAUGCAAAAAGCCAAAACCCUUUCAUGCAGCUGUUGAGAAGUCCAAACAAGUUCAGAAUCCUGAUCUUUUGUGUGUGGCCUAUAUUUUCUCUCUCUAGCAACUUGGGAAACCUUCUAUUUGUCCUUGUAUUGGGAAAAGUUUCUGCCAGAACCAAGAACCACUGUCCGUAAGUGGAGGGAAGUUCAGACUGAAGAAAGAGGCAAAACCACUUUAGAGUCUUGCUCUGUCACCCAGGCUGGAGUGCGGUGGUGUGAUCUUGGCUCACUGCAACCUCUGCCCCCCAAGUUCAAGCGAUUCUCCUGCCUUGGCCUCCCGAGUAGCUGGGACUACAGAUGGAAUCUUGCUGUGUCUCCAGGCUGGAGUGUAGUGGCGCGAUCUCGGCUCACUGCAACCUCUGCCUCCCGGGUUCAAGCAAUUCUCCUGCCUCAGCCUCCCGAGUAGCUGGGACUACAGGUGCCAGCCAUCACGCCCGGCUAAUUUUUUGUAUUUUUAGUAGAGAUGGGGUUUCACCAUGUUGGCCAGGAUGGUCUCGAUCUCCUGACCUCGUGAUCUACCCGCCUCAGCCUCCCAAAGUGCUGGGAUUAUAGGCGUGAGCCACCGCGCCCAGCCUAGUCUCUGCUUUUUUAAAAAAAAUGUUAGGACAGUGGUCCCUAAACUUGUCUGUGUAUUAGAAUCACCUGGGAAAUCUUUAAAAAUUCUAAGGACCAGGUAAAUUAAAUUAUAAUCUCUGGGAAUAGGACUGAUUUUUGUAUUUUUAGUAGAGACGGGGUUUUGCCAUGUUCACCAGGCUGGUCUCGAACUCCUGACCUCAGGUGAUCCACCCGCCUCAGCCUCCCAAAGUGUUGGGAUUACAGGUGUGAGCCACCACAUCCAGCCCAGACUAAUUUUUCUGAUGACAAAUGCUGCUUGUUGAUGUGAAUUCUGAUAUGGCACACACUUGAGCCUCACUUUGUUAGCUAUUAAUUUGUGUUACUGAAUUUACAGGCCUGGAAUACAAUUUGUGCUUCUUUUUAAAUAAAUUUCAUACUUUUUUUU